UGGCUCAAGUGGAAGAGCACUUGCUUAUCAAGCAAGAGUCCCUGAGUUCAAACCCCAG
rnacentral:tRNA from 1 species